rnacentral:rRNA from 1 species
UACGUAGGGUGCAAGCGUUGUCCGGAAUUAUUGGGCGUAAAGAGCUCGUAGGCGGUUUGUCGCGUCUGCUGUGAAAACUCGGGGCUUAACUCCGGGCCUGCAGUGGGUACGGGCAGACUAGAGUGCGGUAGGGGAGACUGGAAUUCCUGGUGUAGCGGUGAAAUGCGCAGAUAUCAGGAGGAACACCGAUGGCGAAGGCAGGUCUCUGGGCCACUACUGACGCUGAGAAGCGAAAGCAUGGGGAGCGAACAGG